UACGUAGGGCGCGAGCGUUGUCCGGAAUUAUUGGGCGUAAAGAGCUCGUAGGUGGCUUGUCACGUCUGCCGUGAAAGCCCAUGGCUUAACUGUGGGUCUGCGGUGGAUACGGGCUGGCUAGAGGUAGGUAGGGGCAAGCGGAAUUCCUGGUGUAGCGGUGAAAUGCGCAGAUAUCAGGAAGAACACCCGUGGCUAAGGCGGCUCUCUAGUACGGUACUGACGCUGAGGUGCGAAAGCGUGGGGAGCGAACAGG
rnacentral:rRNA from 1 species